AGGGGUAUAGUUCAAUGGUAGAACAGUGGUCUCCAAAACCAUCGAUGUGGGUUCAACUCCUACUACCCCUGCCA
rnacentral:tRNA from 1 species